rnacentral:rRNA from 1 species
UACGAAGGGUGCAAGCGUUACUCGGAAUUACUGGGCGUAAAGCGUGCGUAGGUGGUUUGUUAAGUCUGAUGUGAAAGCCCUGGGCUCAACCUGGGAACGGCAUUGGAAACUGGCUUACUAGAGUGCGGUAGAGGGGUGUGGAAUUCCCGGUGUAGCGGUGAAAUGCGCAGAUAUCAGGAGGAACACCGGUGGCGAAGGCGGAUCUCUGGGCCUUACCUGACGCUCAGGCACGAAAGCUAGGGGAGCGAACAGG